rnacentral:misc_RNA from 1 species
GAUAUAUAUACCCGUCGAAUGCAGUUAUAACUGGUUAACUAUCUUAUGAUUAAAUGACUAUAGUUUACUUAAUGUGAUAGCAAUUAAGAUAUUUUAAUGUUUCCUUAACACUUUCCAUGUUUGUCAGCCAUCCUGGUUGGUAGACUUAUGGUGGACUGUAUGGUGUAGAUUAACUAUAGGCAUAACCAAUUUUAACACUUUACUGACCGUUAGCGGAUCAACAGCAUACGCACGUCCGACCGGCAGCUCAGGCGUAGAUUCUCCCUGUCGCCGGCUCUGUUUCGGUUUAGACUCUCCAAUACGAUUCUUUUCGUUCAUCGCGAAUGACAUGAAUUCCCUGGAGUUACCGUUCGAGGAUUCCCGAGGCGGCGGUUUGCUUUAAGCCGUACAAAUCGGUGGAGUCGCUAAAGCGUCAUUUGAUGAAGACAUGGAAGCAAAUUGAUCAAAGUACGGUGCGUGCCUCUAUAGAUCAAUGGAACGUCUCAAGGCUUGCAGCGACGCAAACGAAGGAAUUUUCAAAAACAAUUUCAUCUAACUAACAUUCUAUGAAAAUCAAGUUUGAACAUCCUUUCUAUACACGUGCACUCAAACAAGUCUCGAUUCAGUGAACAGUGUUUGCUGUUGGAGGCAAUGACGAAGAUCAUCGGAUCACCAGUCCAUAGAAAUUUAAUUAAAAGAGCACGAUUACGUAUGCAAAAGCAUGCACAUCAUCUGCAUCAGUUUUUGAAUGAAUAAAAUAAAUAAAAUUGUUGACGAUGAAGCACUUUCUUUUAUUCUGUGUUCUGGUGGUCAUUCGAGUCAUUUGGAAUUGCCAACUAUCGGUAAGGACGUUUACCGAUACGAACUUAAAUGACAAGAUUUUAUUCUUUCUUCCGAUUUACUUUUUCACGUAGAAUCGACGCCUGACCAAUUGCACUAUCACUUACCAGACACCCUGUAUAAGGAAAUAUUCGCGUACUUGGGUUUUUAACUUGAACUGGAUAAACAUAAAUCCAAUUACUCUGGAAUUUGCUAUAUAAUGUUACAUACGAAAUUUUAUAAUUAAUCGUAUCUGAAUUUGUAAUUAGACUGUAAAAUUGCAGGUAAAAUAGAGCAUACUGGUCGUUGAGAAAUUGAUAGUUACUAAAGUUAUAUUGGAUAUCUAGUUUGCCAGAUGUGCAAUCAAUAUCUGCGUUCAUAUAUAUUUACACAGCUACUAAAGAUAAACAAUUAAUUUAAUGAGAAAUUAUCAUCGUUACAAUAUGGAAAUUACAUCCUCUUUAUCGAAUAUUUUAACAUCCAAUACGAAAGUACUUUCCUGGCUAAAUUGUUUCUCAUUCUGGCCAUAGAAAACUUUGAUGCUGUGACAUAUAAAAAUCUCCAAAAUAAACGAAUGUAAAAUUCUCUGCAAAUUUGACUAAAAAAUAAAGCUAAAUUUUAUAGUGAAGCUAGAAAAUAAAGCUAAUAGAGUUAAAUUUCAAAAUGUGUAUCCUCGAUUGUACAGUCAGAGGAUUCAACUUCCAGCCAGACUUUCUGUUGAUCUUUUACUUAGAGCGAUAGAAAAUAAAU